GACGAACGCUGGCGGCGUGCCUAAUACAUGCAAGUCGAGCGGACAGAAGGGAGCUUGCUCCCGGAUGUUAGCGGCGGACGGGUGAGUAACACGUGGGUAACCUGCCUGUAAGACUGGGAUAACUCCGGGAAACCGGAGCUAAUACCGGAUAGUUCCUUGAACCGCAUGGUUCAAGGAUGAAAGACGGUUUCGGCUGUCACUUACAGAUGGACCCGCGGCGCAUUAGCUAGUUGGUGAGGUAACGGCUCACCAAGGCGACGAUGCGUAGCCGACCUGAGAGGGGGAACGGCAACACUGGGACUGAGACACGGCCCAGACUCCUACGGGAGGCAGCAGUAGGGAAUCUUCCGCAAUGGACGAAAGUCUGACGGAGCAACGCCGCGUGAGUGAUGAAGGUUUUCGGAUCGUAAAGCUCUGUUGUUAGGGAAGAACAAGUGCAAGAGUAACUGCUUGCACCUUGACGGUACCUAACCAGAAAGCCACGGCUAACUACGUGCCAGUCGCCGCCGUAA
rnacentral:rRNA from 1 species